CCUCACGUGCCAACACACACAGCAACACACACAUAAACUGAGUAUGUGCCGAUGCCACAACAUGUAAUCUCAAGAUUCUCUGAUUUGCCACGCAUGCACGUUUAGCAAGUGACUGACCAGGCCUUGCGCUAACUGACCAGUGGUUUUGCAAUCCUGUUUAUAAUGCACUCCGUAAUUAAUGUUGAACAAUUUCCCACGGCACAGCUGAACAUCUCUCACGGCACACGAGUGUGCCGC